rnacentral:lncRNA from 1 species
GCCUCUAUUUAUCGAUAUAAUUGAACUUGUUGCAAUGGGGUAUCUGAACAAUUUUUCAAAUUCCUUAUUUUCACUUUUAUAAGAUUUUGCCUGUAAUUUUUAAAAAUGACCUAAUGAUACACAUUCAAACUCUAAACAAGUUAGAAACUUCGAAUAUCUCUAGGCCUUAAAUCAAUUUCAUAAAUAUGUAGUUAGAAACAUUGCUUCUUUAUGGAAAUGACACAACUUUUUUGUGUAGUCUAAUAGUAG